AACCAGCACCUCAAGUGGUCAGGAGGAUUAUUGGGCCUAAAGCAUCCGUAGCCGGCUCUGUAAGUUUUCGGUUAAAUCCAUGUGCUCAACGCAUGGGCCGUCGAAAAUACUGCAUAGCUAGGGAGUGGGAGAGGUAGACGGUACUCGGUAGGAAGGGGUAAAAUCCUUUGAUCUAUCGAUGACCACCUGUGGCGAAGGCGGUCUACCAGAACACGUUCGACGGUGAGGGAUGAAAGCUGGGGGAGCAAACCGG
rnacentral:rRNA from 1 species